rnacentral:tRNA from 1 species
GGAUGUGGCUCAGUGAUAGAGUGCUUGCCUAGCAUGGACAAGGUCCUAAGUUCCAUCCCUAGCACCA